CUGAUCCAGCCAUGCCGCGUGUGUGAAGAAGGUCUUCGGAUUGUAAAGCACUUUAAGUCCGGGAGGAAGGGCAGUAAGUUAAUACCUUGCUGUUUUGACGUUACCAACAGAAUAAGCACCGGCUAACUUCGUGCCAGCCG
rnacentral:rRNA from 1 species